UGUGCGAAGUUAGCAUAAUCAGUAGUCUUUUAAUUGGAGGCUGGAAUGAAGGGUCGGACAAGGGGGAAGCUGUCUUUUUUACAAUUUUUGAAUUUUACUUUUAAGUGAAAAGGCUUAAAUGGGUUGGGGGGACGAUAAGACCCUAUAAAAUUUUACAAAAUUAGGAUUUUUUUUUAAAUUAAGGUUUAAAUUCUAUAAGUUCUUGUUUGUUGUGUUGGGGCGGCAAAGAUAAAAAUUAGUAACUGUCAUUUAAUCAGAAUAAGUAUAAUUAGUUUAGUUGAUCCUUUAUUAGAGAUUAAAAGAUUAAGUUACUUUAGGGAUAACAGCGUAAUUUUCCCUGAGAGUUCUUAUCGACGGGAGUAGUUGCGACCCCGAUU
rnacentral:rRNA from 1 species